rnacentral:rRNA from 1 species
CCUUGACAUCCAGAGAACUUAGCAGAGAUGCUUUGGUGCCUUCGGGAACUCUGAGACAGGUGCUGCAUGGCUGUCGUCAGCUCGUGUUGUGAAAUGUUGGGUUAAGUCCGCAACGAGCGCAACCCUUAUCCUUUGUUGCCAGCGGUUCGGCCGGGAACUCAAAGGAGACUGCCGGUGAUAAACCGGAGGAAGGUGGGGAUGACGUCAAGUCAUCAUGGCCCUUACGGCCAGGGCUACACACGUGCUACAAUGGCGCAUACAAAGAGAAGCGACCUCGCGAGAGCAAGCGGACCUCAUAAAGUGCGUCGUAGUCCGGAUUGGAGUCUGCAACUCGACUCCAUGAAGUCGGAAUCGCUAGUAAUCGUAGAUCAGAAUGCUACGGUGAAUACGUUCCCGGGCCUUGUACACACCGCCCGUCACACCACGGGAGUGGGUUGCAAAAGAAGUAGGUAGCUUAACCUUCGGGAGGGCGCUUACCACUUUGUGAUUCAUGACUGGGGUGAAGUCGUAACAAGGUAAGCGUAGCGAG